ensembl:lncRNA
CUUAUCUUGGCAGGUCCAAGGCUCCAGUUUUCUGGGCUCCCUCCUUUUCUGUUUGUUGGAAAGAAAGGACAGAAGGAUCCUGGGAGUGGAAACUGGCCUUUCUGAUUUCCUCUUGGGCUGACCUCUGUCCAGAGCUGAUGGAUGAGGAAUGUGAAAGGACCCUCUCCCACCCGUGCUGAGCACAGGGAGUCCAGCUUCAGGAACUUCCGCUUAUAAAUGCUGCCUUUUAGCAUCUAGGUGAAAAGUUUAACCUAUAAGAGGUGUUCCUGGUUUGAUGUGUUAUUGGGAUGCCCAUCAAACCAGGCGUCCUGGCUCUUAGCAGCUUGCUGAAGAUACAGACCCUGAUUCUGAUUGGCAGGUCUGGGAUGUGUUCUAGCCAGUGAGGAGGGUCCCUGUCUAGGCCCAGCAGGUUCCCAAGGAAGCUGUUGUCUCUGCCAGUCUCAGUCUGUGGGAUUGUGCCCUCAGUGACAGGGAUUGGUAGAGUUGGGGGACAGUCUGGACACAGGCUCAAAGGAUGUUUCCUUUGCCUUUUCCCGGGUCUACUGUUUCAGUGCUCCUGGGCUCUCUGCUCUCUCCCGGACCAGCGCCCACUUUGAGCAGAAUCCUGUUUCGCUGAGCAAGGAACAUCUGGAAAUGUGAAAGGCUCAUUUCAUCCAGAGAUCGGCACAUGCAGUUCGGAGUCUUUCUGGGACACGAAUGAGCAGGAUAGGAAUUUGAGAAGAUAAAAGUGUGUGGGGAGAACAUGUUCAUGUCUUCCUCCAGAGCUCGGGAGCCCUGAAGACCCUGGCUUAGGUGGCCGUGGGCCUUUCUGUCUGUAGAGCCAGUUGUCACCAAGAGGGGUCCAGUCACCAUGAAGCGGACCACAGCUCAGCCUGGGACUUGGAGAAGACAGAAAAGGAAGGGCCUUGUCAAGUGGCGGCAGCCCUGGGGCACUCCAACCUGGGUGUCCUUCAGGGACUGUGAAGAGGAUGAGCACCUUUUCUUUCACCAAGACCCAGGAGGAGUGGGAUAGCGUUUUUCUGACUGAUGUCUUUCCCACUCUGGUGCCUGGUUUCCUCUCAUUCUGACUGCAGUCCCAGCUGCUCCCAAGGAUGGGAGGCAGGGAAAACACAAGCUUGUCUCAUCUGGGUCCACAGCUGCCUGCUGCUGCCUCAAUGCCUGUCCUUCUGCCCUAG